rnacentral:rRNA from 1 species
AACGAACGCUGGCGGCGCGCCUAAUACAUGCAAGUCGAGCGAGAAGGUGUAGCAAUACACUUGUAAAGCGGCGAACGGGUGAGGAAUGCAUGGGUAACCUACCCUCGAGUGGGGAAUAACUAGCCGAAAGGUUAGCUAAUACCGCAUACGUUUCCGGAACUUCGGUUUCGGAAAGAAAGCAAUACCGUGGGUAUUGCGCUCCUGGAUGGGCUCAUGUCCUAUCAGCUUGUUGGUGAGGUAACGGCUCACCAAGGCUUCGACGGGUAGCUGGUCUGAGAGGACGAUCAGCCACACUGGCACUGCGACACGGGCCAGACUCCUACGGGAGGCAGCAGUAAGGAAUAUUGCGCAAUGGACGAAAGUCUGACGCAGCGACGCCGCGUGGGGGAUGAAGGUCUUCGGAUUGUAAACCCCUUUCGGGAGGGAAGAUGGAGUGGGUAACCACGUUGGACGGUACCUCCGAGAAGCAGCCACGGCUAACUUCGUGCCAGCAGCCGCGGUAAU